rnacentral:misc_RNA from 1 species
CACAAUAAACAUAUGAAGGGCCGCACCGCCAACAGGCGGCAAGGCCGGAGUAUUUUAUUACCCUUGUCUUUUGCGCACUUGUUGUUUCCUGGGCGGGUUCGCCCGCCUCCAGGACCACAUGAUAAACCUUUUUAUGCAGUUGCAAUCAGCGUCAGUACAACAAAUGUAAAUCAUUUA